rnacentral:rRNA from 1 species
ACUGGGCGUAAAGCGCACGCAGGCGGUUUGUUAAGUCAGAUGUGAAAUCCCCGCGCUUAACGUGGGAACUGCAUUUGAAACUGGCAAGCUAGAGUCUUGUAGAGGGGGGUAGAAUUCCAGGUGUAGCGGUGAAAUGCGUAGAGAUCUGGAGGAAUACCGGUGGCGAAGGCGGCCCCCUGGACAAAGACUGACGCUCAGGUGCGAAAGCGUGGGGAGCAAACAGGAUUAGAUACCCUGGUAGUCCACGCUGUAAACGAUGUCGACUUGGAGGUUGUGCCCUUGAGGCGUGGCUUCCGGAGCUAACGCGUUAAGUCGA